GACGAACGCUGGCGGCGUGCUUAACACAUGCAAGUCGAACGGUGAACUCCGCUUGCGGGGGGAUCAGUGGCGAACGGGUGAGUAACACGUGGGCAACCUGCCCUCAGCUCUGGGAUAACUCCAAGAAAUUGGGGCUAAUACCGGAUAUGACCGCUGACCGCAUGGUCUGGUGGUGGAAAGAUUUAUCGGCUGGGGAUGGGCCCGCGGCCUAUCAGCUUGUUGGUGGGGUAGUGGCCUACCAAGGCGACGACGGGUAGCCGGCCUGAGAGGGUGACCGGCCACACUGGGACUGAGACACGGCCCAGACUCCUACGGGAGGCAGCAGUGGGGAAUAUUGCGCAAUGGGCGAAAGCCUGACGCAGCGACGCCGCGUGGGGGAUGACGGCCUUCGGGUUGUAAACCCCUUUCAGCAGGGACGAAGCGAAAGUGACGGUACCUGCAGAAGAAGCACCGGCCAACUACGUG
rnacentral:rRNA from 1 species